GAAACGACUCUCGGCAACGGAUAUCUAGGCUCUCGCAUCGAUGAAGAACGUAGCAAAAUGCGAUACUUGGUGUGAAUUGCAGAAUCCCGUGAAUCAUCGAGUCUUUGAACGCAAGUUGCGCCUGAAGCCAUUAGGUCGAGGGCAUGCCUGCCUGGGCGUCACCC
rnacentral:rRNA from 1 species